rnacentral:misc_RNA from 2 species
CCGAGUUUUCAACUCCCAAACCCACUGUGAACAUAUACCUUUGUUUUCGUUGCCUCGGCGGUUCGCGCCGCCGGGUGACACCCAAACUCUGAUUUGAUAUAGCAAGUCUUUCUGAGUAAAACAUUCUAAAUGAAUCA